CCACAGCAAGGAUGUCAGCACAUGACACCACCUGCGGACAGAUCCCCUCAACCUGUGCCUUGAUGUUGUCUAUAACAUCGAAUCCACGCAGAGAGUUGUUGUUCGGGGCGGCGGUCUUCUCUCCAGUGAAGGUUGGGGUGUCAUCUAGCAGCACCGAUCCAUCACAACCCUGCAUUGUCAGAAUACUGAAGGUUAGCUAAUUAAUGGAAAACUCUACAGUCAGAAAGUGCAUGCAAGUGGAGAGGAUCAGAUGGGGGCAUGCCAACAUGACAAGAUACCCUUUGUGGUUUGGUCUUUUGAUCCCUCCACUAAGAUGUAACCAUCUAGAAGAA
rnacentral:sRNA from 1 species